UUGUAAUAUGCCCAGUUACAUUGAAAAUAAACUAUCUUUAUCUUAUCUUUAUGAACACGUAUGAUUUUAGCUCACUCAAGUUGCCACCAAGGGCACUGGGAAGAAGUUAAGCACAUUUAUCUAUAAAAAGCUGUCCGAAAAAUUGGAGGGGGAAGAUGUAGAUCAUGAAGCAUUACAGCUGGUUUGUAAAUUUAAUUUAUAUCAUGAAAAUAAUUCUCUAAAAAAAAGAAAAAAGAAUGUAAAUAAAAAAAAAACAAGAUUUUAUCUUUAAAUAAGUACCUACCAUAUAUACGAUAUACAUAAUGGAUAUAUUCUGAAAUAUUACGAUGCUGGCGAUAUUUCCUCGUUGUAUCGCAUCACUGAUAGUUGUGCGAGGAAGCCGCCAGCUUUUUGGUCACCAGUUACGUCAACCAGACGUUUCGCAAUUUCUUAUACCUAGGUAGGUACGUUUCGGGUUAUUAAAAUAAUAUAGGUAUAUUAUUUUACAGCACAUAUGGUGCUACUUUAACGCACUAGUGCAAUAAUCAGCACAUUACGAAACUAUGUCGAAAGUUUAUAGGGCCAUAUGUACUGUAAAACAUUGUACGAUACAUGUGCGAAUAGGUAAUUCGCAACUCGUGUCGAUUUAAUUCAAUUUAUUACUACUCGUUUCGAAUUUACUAUUUUUCGCACUUGUAUCGUAAUGUACUGUUUUUGUGAUCAGGAAUUAAUUUAAGUUUUAUCUAAUUUAUUAUAUUGUAGGUGGCAUUAGUAACGGCGAAUGAAGUAUCAAGGAGGGGAGUUGCAAAACUAGAGGCACGAUCAAAUAAUCAACCAAAGGCACAAUAUAAGCCGCAGCGUCCGUCACAAGGAUAUCAGGAGGAGCUCUCCAACCACGAAUACGGGAAACCGUCGUCGAAAAAGACGUUGUGCAUCUUCACACCACCCAAGGAGUACUGCGUAGUUCAGAUGAAGGACUCGUCCAGAACGGACCAGGAGGAACUUAACCCGCCUGAUGACGGCGUUUCCGACGACGAUAAUGAACGUGUUUCCGACGACGCCGUUGCAGAUGACUCUGAUGAUGAUGAUGGCAGUCCGAAUUAUAUCAAUGGGUAGACUAAAGGAUGUUUCACGUCAUCAGUAACAUAAUAGCACAUAUGUUUCUGCACAAUAAACUCAAUAAUUCGGAUUAAAUCUUCUUAUUAAAA